rnacentral:rRNA from 1 species
GAUGAACGCUAGCGGCAGGCUUAACACAUGCAAGUCGAGGGGCAGCAGGGUAGCAAUACCGCUGGCGACCGGCAAACGGGUGCGGAACACGUACAGAACCUACCCUGAUCUGGGGGCAUAGCCCGAAGAAAUUCGGAUUAACUCCCCAUAAUAUAGAUGAGUGGCAUCACUUGACUAAUUAAAAAUUUAUUGGAUCAGGA